rnacentral:lncRNA from 1 species
GUGGUUUGGGUUGAUCCUCCUCCUCCAUUGCAUGCUGCCCUUGCUUUUGAAGACCUGCACGCAGAGCUAGAACAAAGCUCGAUCAGAAGCCACAAAAUGCAGAAGCAAAAUAUGGAGCUGUCAAAGAAAAAUCUUGCUUUGAAGAAGAAACUGAGAGAGAGAGAUGAGAUGAUGUUAGUUCUGGCAUUGUUGUUUGUUGGAAUGUGUGUUGUUGUGUUUUAAGUGUUGUAGUUUGCAGCAGUUGUUGAAGAGAGUGUGUGAGAGAGAGAGAUGACCUGAAUGUUGUUUGUGAUGCUCUAUUGUAUGAAUUUGAAGAUCAUUAUUCUCUGCUCAUGCUUGUUGAAGAAAGUGUGUCUGAGAGAGCAAUUAUAGCACAUAUUGUACCAAAUAGAGCAACCUGGUACAACACUUUAUUCUACCAAAUUCCACAAACUGACAUUGUACCAAAUUCCACAAACUGACAUUGUACCAAAUACAACACUUCAUAGUGCAUUGCCAAAUAUAACAUUGUACCAAAUACAGCAAUUUAUUGUACCAACACACAAUAACAAGAUAAU